rnacentral:rRNA from 1 species
UACAGAGGGGGCAAGCGUUGUUCGGAAUUACUGGGCGUAAAGGGCGCGUAGGCGGCCUGCUAAGUCGAACGUGAAAUCCCUGGGCUCAACCCAGGAACUGCGUCCGAUACUGGUUGGCUUGAAUCCGGGAGAGGUGAGUGGAACUGCGAGUGUAGAGGUGAAAUUCGUAGAUAUUCGCAAGAACACCAGUGGCGAAGGCGGCUCACUGGCCCGGUACUGACGCUGAGGUGCGAAAGCGUGGGGAGCAAACAGGG